GCGCGUGUGCGUUUGUGUGUGUGUGUGAUGGGGCGGCUCCGGUUUCAAACACAGCGCCCAUCUUUAACCCAACAGCACCGGACAGUCCCGCAGCGAGAUCCGCAACUCUUGCACGGUGCGAGGCCCAGGUUAUGAAGCAACAGAGAGAGGACAGAAAAUAUGAUUGAAACAAUGGACACCCAGCAUUGUCUUCAGGCGAUGGAGAGGUUACAGGCUCGCCUGAAGGAAAAGGGACCAGAUGUUCCUGCCGAGGAGAAACUGAAUCUCCUGAAGACGGUCCUGCAGAGUCCUUUGUUCCACCGAAUCCUCGCCCUGCAGAAAUCAGUACAGCAUCUGAAAG